UUGGUCAUUUUGGAGCGUCGAGUUAGUCGUUGAGUCCUUCAGGCCUCUACCACCUCAACCAACAAACUAAAUCCAAUCCAUGGCGACGUGCCGUAUAAAAUUCACUCUCCGGUGCCCUUCUUCCGAUACGCAGCGUUUCGCGUCCACUUGUCGACUCCCAAACCCUAGCUACCCUCUCCUACUUAAUCUCAACCCCGCCUCCUCUUCCAACCCCAAAAAGGUCUCGUGUUCCAGUGCGCGGCGGCGUAGCUUUGGUACUGUGAGGGCUCACAUGGCCACGGAGGAGAAACCGGUUUCCGAGGACAGAAUGCUUGUAUUCGUGCCGCCGCACCCGUUGAUCAAGCAUUGGGUUUCAGUUUUGAGAAAUGAGCAAACUCCUUGUCCCAUUUUUCGAAAUGCCAUGGCUGAGUUGGGGAGGCUUCUUAUAUAUGAAGCUUCAAGAGAUUGGCUGCCUACGGUCACAGGAGAAAUCCAAUCACCGCUUGGUGUCGCAUCAGUUGAAUUCGUAGAUCCAAGGGAACCUAUUUCGGUUGUUCCAAUUUUAAGAGCUGGUCUAGCUUUGGUGGAACAUGCGUCGUCAAUCUUGCCAGCAACAAGAACGUACCAUCUUGGGAUAGGCAGAAAUGAGGAGACACUUCAACCAACAGUAUAUCUGAACAAGUUACCUGACAAAUUUCCUGAAGGGUCACGAGUAUUUUUGGUUGAUCCUAUGCUAGCAACAGGUGGCACUAUAGUGGCAGCUAUGAACCUAUUAAAGGACCACGGGGUUGACAACAAGCAAAUUAAAGUGAUAUCUGCUGUUGCUGCCCCUCCAGCCCUGCAAAAGCUGAGCGAGAAGUUUCCAGGGCUUCAUGUAUACACUGGCAUCAUUGAUCCUAUUGUAAAUGAAAAAGGGUUCAUAAUCCCUGGACUGGGUGAUGCUGGAGACCGCAGCUUCGGUACAUGAAGUCAUUACUCAAUGCGCUGUCAUAUUCCUCCUCCGCCAUUACCACCUCCUUCACCACCUCCGCUGGCUAGCGAGUCACAAAUUCCACAGAGCAAACGGCAGGCUCAAGAUGCAGGGCGGCAACAAGCCAAACUAAGCCUGUGAUUUUCCACGUUUCCAUAUCUUUCUACUUUACAUGUACUAUCCAUCUACUGGAACUGGAUGUGCCCAAAUAAGCUCCCAGAACUUCCCUUUUAUGGUCAAGACUUAUUAAAACCAUUAAUGAAAAUAAUAUUUCUGAUUGUGGUCGUACGCGUGGCCAUUUUGUCUUUGUAACUCUCCAUGAUGCAUGCAUGCCUGUUGCAGGGAAGAAGAUCUAUUGUGAAAUUCAUUCAACUUAAAGGAAAGUGUAAGAGAGAUACUAAAAAAAGAGAAUGCGAGGAAUGAGUUCAGAGCAAACCUAUUGCUAGCAGGUGAGUGAGACUAUUGGAUCAAACCAAUUUGUCAACUACUUCCAAAUAUUGAUCCAAACAGGCUAAAAUCACCAAGUGCUCCAAUGCCGAUAGCAGAUGAUAACGUUGAUCCAAUUGAACCCCAGGAAGAUGUGAAGAAACGCGGCAAGUCCCUUGAUGAGGGAAUCCAAA